UACGGAGGGUGCAAGCGUUAUCCGGAAUUACUGGGUUUAAAGGGUCCGCAGGCGGGCUGAUAAGUCAGUGGUGAAAUCCUACGGCUCAACCGUAGAACUGCCAUUGAUACUGUUAGUCUUGAGUAAGGUGGAAGUUGGCGGAAUACAGCAUGUAGCGGUGAAAUGCGUAGAUAUGCUGUAGAACACCGAUUGCGAAGGCAGCUGACUAUACCUUUACUGACGCUGAGGGACGAAAGCGUGGGGAGCGAAC
rnacentral:rRNA from 1 species